rnacentral:lncRNA from 1 species
UGAAGGCCACCGACCUUUCAUCAGCCUUUCUCUGGAUGCUUCAUCGUCUGUAGCUUGGGGCUGGGAGCUACAGCCCUACACGCAUCUCACUGCCUGACGCCCAGAGGAGGGAGGACAAGGUCCAUACACAAAGAAGGUUGAAUAAAAAUGCACAGACCUAUGGCUGAAGCCAGGAUUUGUCACGGAUACAGCAGAGAAUGAUGGCACCCAGGAAUGUGCUGGUGCUGUAGAUGGGUGUUUCCGUGAGCUCUGUUUUUAACAGUCAGCAAUUGGUACAAUCUUGGUUUUAUCCUCUGAUGCUCAAUUAAGGGUCACCAGAAGUAUGCUGAUCCACACGUCUGCAGUUUCUCAAGAGAACAGUCAUUCCUCCCUUGUUCUCAACUGGAGAACCUAAGGUAUGUUUUCUUCACAUGGGAUGAGGGCAGAUUCUCUUUGUGCCAGUUUCUGUGUAGGUCAAGUAUGGAAG